rnacentral:rRNA from 1 species
UACGUAGGGUCCGAGCGUUGUCCGGAAUUAUUGGGCGUAAAGAGCUCGUAGGCGGUUUGUCGCGUCUGCUGUGAAAUCCCGAGGCUCAACCUCGGGUCUGCAGUGGGUACGGGCAGACUGGAGUGUGGUAGGGGGAGACUGGAAUUCCUGGUGUAGCGGUGAAAUGCGCAGAUAUCAGGAGGAACACCGGUGGCGAAGGCGGAUCUCUGGGCCUUACCUGACGCUCAGGCGCGAAAGCUAGGGGAGCGAACAGG